UUAGACUAAAUUUUAAAUAUGUGCUGUAUUUAAUAAUAAAAGUAACUAGUCAACCAUCAUUCCGUGGAAAUGAAUGCCGAGUCCCAAUCAAAAUUAAUCAUAAGGACGGAAAAUUAUUGUACCAGUUGUUAUGCAUGUGCUGCAUGUCUGUAAAAUCUAAUAAAACUUGUUCUGAUUGCAGGAACACCGGACAAAAGAAGAUCUUCCUGAAUGAUAUUUUAUCAAGAAAAGAAUUGUUAUCAAGAAAAGUUGAAUAUUAGAAUGUAAACCUCACUUGAAACCAUGGGCACCAACCUGCUUAUCCAAGAAUACCUGCCCUGAGUCAAGAUAAACCAGCGCAUUAAAAGGCAGAGUUACGACUCUCAUAUCUGGAAACAGCUGAACCCAAUCCAGAUACAGUCACAAUCACGCUAACCUGUGACUGAGGGUUCGACCACAGUGGAGGAGGUCUUUGGAUUUGUAUCUGUGGAUCUGUACCUGUGGAUCUGUACCUGUGGACCUGUAACUUUUGGCAUCACCCGGAAACAAAUCCAGCCAAAAGUCUUAAACAGAAUGGUCCGGGAAAAGGGGACUACGUCAAACAGUCUCUGAUUGCCGGGCCCAGACAGUUGGCAGGAUGAUUGCUGCCAACUCUGUGUUUGAUUCUUUCUGGAUAAAUGGGGAAAGAUUUCAAUCACAGCUAUAGCUAGAACUCUACUCAACAGAGCUACGCCUACUCUUGAAUCUCUUGAAGACCAUUGUUCAGUGUCCAAGCUAUAUAAAGUUCAACUAAACUUCAAGAGAAGCUAAAACUAAUGAAGAGCCUAAACUGCAGGAUAUAAAAGAGCACUAAACUAAACCUGGAAAAGCCCACAAUUUUCCACCACUUUGGAUUCUGUAAGAAGAAUUUGCUCAAUAAAUGCUAAAUACAG
rnacentral:lncRNA from 1 species